CGGGGAUAUCCAAAGUGGAGAAAAUGUACGAGGACGGCCUGGUGCGCAACUUCACAGACGCGUACGCCGUCGAGAUGAAACACUGGGGACACAGAAACAG
rnacentral:lncRNA from 1 species